GUAAAAUUGAUGUUCUUAAUGCUGUGCCGGUGACCGUGAGGGCGUUGUCAUCACCGGGCGCUCAGUCAACUUUGCUAACGUUCGCUCUGAACUCCGUGUCUGCCUUCCGCACGUGCCCGGCAGAUGCCGGCAGUGGGUGGGCCAUCCAGGGCUGAAACCUGGUUCUGAUCCGGAGGAGCUCGCAGUCCGGGGAGGCAGAAAGGGGCCAGGGUCACAGCUGUGCAUUUGUCAAGCGCCCAAGUCGGUAGAGACGGCCACCAGCCCGGGGAUCAGGAAGGUUGCCCACGUCACGCUAAGGGUAAGAAGAGGAUGAUUCUGUGAAGGAACCUCUAGAAAGGAGACAGGAGUCCCCAGAGGGUGGCAUCACAGUAGCCAGGGGACUGGGACAUAUCUAAGAGGCGCCAGGGCCAAAUGUAAUUUCCACUGGUUGUGGGGAAGAAGGCGUUGGCGUUAACAAUAUCGACAGCACUUUUAAGUGAUGCUGGCUGAAUGUAAUUGUACAGGGGGGUCUCACCCGAGGCCCUUGGCGGUGAAGACAAGGUGAGACGCAGGCACCACCUGGGCCUUGACAGCAGGGUUUGAACCGCACAGGUCCCCUUACGUGCCUGUGGUUCCCCUGAGGACGGCACAGCGUUGUAAAUGUAUUUUCCUUUGGUUUUCUUAACAUUUUCUUUUCUCUAGCUGGCUUUAUUGCAAAAAUACAGUGCAUAGUACAUAUAACAUGCAAAUAUGCAUUAGUCGAGUGCCAUCGGUAAGGCUCCUGUCAACUGUAGCGUGUUACUAAGGUCUUCGGGAGUCAGCAGUUACGCUCAGAUUUUCAACAGCCUGGGGAGAGGGGUGGGUGCCCCUGACCCUGCAUUGUCCAGGGGUCUGCGGUAGUCGCCAGAUUGGAAAGUGGGGUCGAGAGAGGAUUUUUGUUGGUGUUUUCAUUUUGAAACUGAGACAGACUUAAGCUUGCUUGCUACAUCGAGGGAAGGGUCCGCAGAGAGGAAGGGGUGAGGGACUGGGGCGGAGAGCAGGAUUUCUGAGGCAGCGGGUAGGUUGUGAGGCAGAAAGGCAUGGGUUUGUGGAGGUGAAGGUCUCUGACAGAAGGCACAGCAGUCUAGCAAACAGGAUGCGGGCCAGUGGAGGAGAAAUUUGAGGAGGGCCCUGCAGGUUUGCAGACUUGCAGGGGCCAAGGAGCUGCCUAGCUCACCAGAGCUGUGGCUGUGCUAGUCCCCAGCCUAGGGCGGGAGGCAUGAGGGUCCCCAGCCUGGGGGGAGUGCCGCAGGGGAGGGCCCCAUCCUGGGGGGAGGGCCACUGGGCUCCCCAGCCUGGGAGGAGACUGUGGGCCCCCAGCCUGGGGCAGGAGGCGUGAGGGUCCCCAGCCUGGGAGGAGGCCAUUGGGAUCCCCAGUCUGGGAGGAGGGCUGUGAAGGUCCUCAAGCUUGCAGGGAGGCCUCAGGGGUCCCCAGCAUAUUUGGGGUCUGCGUGCUGGAAGAGGGUAAGAGAGUUUGAAUCCAUCUGGGGUGGGCAUUUUUUUGUACUUUAUCAUACAACUGUUGCCUGUGUUUCCGCAGGCAUGCAUGUGCCUUCUUCAGCGUAAGGCCUGUGUAAGCAGUUCACAGUCUCAGAUGUAUAGAGGCCAGGCAGGUGACAGAGCGAACAGAUCUGGGGGUGUCUCUUUUAAACAAAACCCCACUCUAUUUAUGCAUUUGACAUGUAGGAAUAUUCUUCUUCUCCACAAAUACAGGACCCUCAUUUUUCUCCAAACUUGUCUCUCUUUGUCCACCUUGCAUUUUUGGUACUUUUGACAGACACAGGUAUUAGAGCAGUCUCACUCCCUUGCUGACCGUACUGUGAGAAAAACCACAGUCCCAGUUCAGGGACAAAUGUAUCCGUAUCAGAGGGCCGGGGCGUGUGCCCUGUGUGAAAGAUGAAGCCGCUGUGUGCCCGCCGGCCGCUUGUCACCCACUGUUGGCAGUCUGGUUUUCACAAGGACCUGGGAUCUAGGGUCAUGGGAAAUCUCUUUUAACAGUGUUAGUAAUGAAGCAGGGCAAGUACAUUAAGUAACAGCACUGUAUCCGUGUUAAUUUCCUGGCCUCUACAGUUGUCCCACGAUCACGUAAGAUAGUAGCUUUGGAGAAGUUGAGCAUAGGGUAUGUGGGAACCCUCCCGGUUUUNNNNNNNNNNNNNNNNNNNNNNNNNNNNNNNNNNNNNNNNNNNNNNNNNNNNNNNNNNNNNNNNNNNNNNNNNNNNNNNNNNNNNNNNNNNNNNNNNNNNNNNNNNNNNNNNNNNNNNNNNNNNNNNNNNNNNNNNNNNNNNNNNAGGUAUUAGAGCAGUCUCACUCCCUUGCUGACCGUACUGUGAGAAAAACCACAGUCCCAGUUCAGGGACAAAUGUAUCCGUAUCAGAGGGCCGGGGCGUGUGCCCUGUGUGAAAGAUGAAGCCGCUGUGUGCCCGCCGGCCGCUUGUCACCCACUGUUGGCAGUCUGGUUUUCACAAGGACCUGGGAUCUAGGGUCAUGGGAAAUCUCUUUUAACAGUGUUAGUAAUGAAGCAGGGCAAGUACAUUAAGUAACAGCACUGUAUCCGUGUUAAUUUCCUGGCCUCUACAGUUGUCCCACGAUCACGUAAGAUAGUAGCUUUGGAGAAGUUGAGCAUAGGGUAUGUGGGAACCCUCCCGUUUCUGUAACUUUUCUGUAUGUAUGAAUUCAUUUCAAAAUCCAAAGUUAAAAAAAUGAGUAAAAUACCGAGACCCAAUUCUGUGAAAGCCGAACAUAAUAAUGCCCUUGCUGGCCACCCGCUGGAGCCCUCUGGUUUUCACUUGGGAUUUCGUGGCCUCUGCAGUGCAUCACACAGCACCGUGUGUUGGGCAAGGUCGCCAAUCAGCAAACACUAGUGCUCUGGCUUGAAGAACAUGUUUACAGGGAGAUCGUUGUGUUAUAUCUGUGAGGUAUUUGACUUUUAAAACUGUCUUUUUCUCGUUUUAAACAGGUUUUACAAAAGAGGCAAAGUGUUCUACCUCUAGAUUUUUUCCAUUUUUUUCCGCAUAAAUCAAAACAUCUCAAAAUGGAGGCCUAACACCCUUAAAAGGGACUUAGUCUGAUCUCUGGGAGGUAGUUUUGUGCAUGAAGAAACAAAUUAAGUGUGAACUGGAGUUUUUAUUAUCCCAAAGGAUGUUAAUUUUAAACAAUACAGUCUAGUGGCAUGAGGUGUAACUAUAAAGUCAUGAUGAUCUCGUCUUUGAAUUUGACUGGUGGAUAUAAAGGGAAGUGACUGUAGCCAGAACAGAACAGAGAGAAGGAACUUGUGUUUGGUACAGACCUGAAAAUGAGCGACAGUUAUCUAGAACAAUGUUCACCCCUCUACUGAGUUAGAGAAGCACGCAGGUGAGGCCUCUGACAGGUCAAGAGACUUCCAUGGUGACAAAGAAAUGUCCAGAACAAGACUUUGCGGUGCCCCAAGUGUCGAGUAUGGCACACUAGCGUGGACGAUCGGUAAAGGAAUGAUCUAAGCACUUAUCUGACUGUGCAUGUGUUAAAAGCCUCAAGUUCGGCUUGUUUGAAUGGGCUGUUAUCUCCGAGAAGGAUGACGGUGAGAAUGAUGGCUGGGUGGUCCAUUCUGGGAAAAGAACAGACUUACGCAGACACAGUGACUAGCCCCGGAAGGGUUUCUGCAGGAAUGUGUAAAAUUUCUGUCCACUGCUGACGUUAGACACAAUCACUGAUCUCUGGAACAGAGCUACGUCUCUCAUAUCGCCUGGAAGUGAAGAGCCAAAGUCGCAGCGGAAACCCCAACACCUGUGGGACCCAGGAAACUGCGCAGAAAUCACGGCUAGAGAAGCCACGAAGACCCGUUUGCAGAUUGUUGUUCAUGUUACCGACACAGAAACUUUUUACCGAUAGCUGGUCGUAAUUGAGAAACUCUGAACUUUCACAAGGUCUCUGUUUGGCAAAAGGAGGGGAUUGUGACAACGUAAAUUCAUUAUUUUCUUGUUGCGAUGAAUUCUGGCUCAAGGUAUGCUGUCUUUGGGAUUUCUGACCAAAGCCGCAUUUUUACACUUCGAUUAUUCAUCUUAGUGUACAGACUCAGCCCUCUGACUUUUGACUGUUUUAAGAAACAAAUCCAUUGUCAGAAUAGAUUUGGUAGUGUCUUUCAACAGCGUGAAGCUGAGCCUAAAAAGACCAGUUGAACAAACACGUUCUGCUCUGAGGAUUUAUUUGAAAUACAGUAUUCAGUUUGCUAAGUUCUACUGGCAUCACUAGGACUAAGUAACCAAGCUGCUGACUAUGGGAAGUAAUUGUCGUUCAGGUAAUUUUGAAACAGGACUUAAGAUGCAUCAGCCAAUUCUGUUCCCACUUCAGCUCUUCAUUUGUAGGAAAAUUCUAGAUCGUUUCGUUGUUCCUAUUACAGAUAUUCUAGGAAGAAAAAUUACUUAAUUUGAGCACGAUUUGGGAUAGAUUGUAUUCCAUCACAUCUAAGAUGUCACUAAUUGGAAAACACACCAUUAUUUUAUAUAGUUCCAAGAGAUAAAAGCCCUGCUAAUUAAAAUACGGUAUUUGUUAGCUGAAAGAUACCUCUUGGUAACAGAGGUGUUAAAAAGAUACAUCCUACAAUCAGUGAAAUGACCCCCACGUACUCGUUUCUUCUGUUCAGGCAGGUCUUACGCUUU
rnacentral:lncRNA from 1 species